AGGCAGCAGUGGGGAAUUUUGCGCAAUGGGGGAAACCCUGACGCAGCAACGCCGCGUGGAGGAUGAAGUACUUCGGUACGUAAACUCCUUUCGAUCGGGACGAUAAUGACGGUACCGGAAGAAGAAGCCCCGGCUAACUUCGUGCCAGCAGCCGCGGUAAUACGAGGGGGGCAAGCGUUGUUCGGAAUUAUUGGGCGUAAAGGGUGCGUAGGCGGUUUGGUAAGUCUUUUGUGAAAUCUACAGGCUCAACUUGUAGACUGCAAGGGAAACUGCCGGGCUUGAGUAUGGGAGAGGUGAGUGGAAUUCCUGGUGUAGCGGUGAAAUGCGUAGAUAUCAGGAGGAACACCUGUGGGGAAAGCGGCUCACUGGUCCAUAACUGACGCUGAUGCACGAAAGCUAGGGGAGCAAACAGGAUUAGAUACCCUGGUAGUCCUAGCCCUAAACGAUGACUGCUUGGUGUGGCGGGUACCCAAUCCCGCCGUGCCGUAGCUAACGCGUUAAGCAGUCCGCCUGGGGAGUACGGUCGCAAG
rnacentral:rRNA from 1 species